rnacentral:SRP_RNA from 1 species
AGCCAGGACCUACGCUACCGGCCGUCGCCCAACUCCGUCAGGACCGGGAGGUAGCAGCGGUAAGUGAUUGGCCGAUGUGCAGUAGUAAUCUUGACUGGA